rnacentral:rRNA from 1 species
ACGGGGGAUGCAAGCGUUAUCCGGAAUUAUUGGGUUUAAAGGGUGCGUAGGCGGUUUGAUAAGUCAGCGGUGAAAUCUUUCAGCUUAACUGCAAGGGUGCAGUUGAUACUGUCAGGCUAGAAUAUGGAUGCGGUGGGGGGAAUGUGCGGUGUAGCGGUGAAAUGCUUAGAUAUCAGACAGAAUAUCGGUUGCGAAGGCAGCUCACAAAGCCAUUAUUGACGCUGAGCCGCGAAAGUGUGGGGAUCAAACAG